UAUGCCUACAAUAAAUCCUUGGGCUGAGAUCUUGUCAGAACUCUGAAGUAAGACAAGAGUCAUGACUGGUCAGUACUUGUAUGGGAGACCUCAGAGGAAAACCCAAGAUGGUACAG
rnacentral:rRNA from 1 species